rnacentral:rRNA from 1 species
AAACUUUCAACAACGGAUCUCUUGGUUCUGGCAUCGAUGAAGAACGCAGCAAAAUGCGAUAAGUAAUGCGAAUUGCAGAAUUUCCGUGAGUCAUCGAAUCUUUGAACGCACAUUGCGCCCUUUGGUAUUCCGAAGGGCAUGCCUGUUCGAGCGUCAUU